rnacentral:lncRNA from 1 species
GGUAGGGUAGUGAGAUAGGAGAGUUGAAGACAAGGGCUUGGCUGUGGGAGAGAAGAUUGCAAGCUGGGUAGGAAUAUAAGGGAGCCUCUGAUGCCAAACCUAGAAGGAAGCCAAGCCGGGGAACAACACUGAGAUCCAGCCAAACGGGCAACAGAGAGAAGCUGGGCACCACUUCAGCGAGACAGCAGAGCAGAGAGGGCUCAGUGGAAGGAUGAGGUUAGACCUGCACGCUCCAGGAGACCGGAGCCAUUGUUAGGUUAUAACCUGGCUUCUCACUUCCCCACUCUGGCAUUUUCUUUGGCUGAUUCUUGGCAGGCUGUGCUGAGCAAUGGCUUUUACUGACUAGAUGUUGAGAGCCCAAAUCACGACAGUCAAAAAUGUCUCCUUGAUAUAGCCAACUGUCUCCCAAGUGACAAAACUCUCCUUGAUUGAGACCACGGAGGUCGUUCUAGUUAACUCACUGGAUGGAAAGGUGUGCUACUCUGGUGAUGGGAGGGUCAACUGGGAUGGGCAGACCAGCCUGUUGGGACCCAUCUCUGGAUGGGGACUGACGUGCCCUAGACAGAUGCAGCUGCCACUGGACUGACAAUCCUUCUCCCAUCUUCUCCCCACCCUCCUCUAGCCGAGAGCACAGCUUCUUCCAGGGCCCUUUCCUCCAGCUAUGGCUCUUGGCCAGCCUCUCCUUUGGGCUCCCUCUGGGCAGGGCCUGGCCUGGCAGAGGCUUCUAGCUGCCGCUGGCCACUCAGUGCUUCCCUGGCUCCUUAUCUCUGCUCAGGACUCUCCACGAUCGUCACUCUCUCCUGUCGAGCGUGUGCCAUCUGUUCACUGCUGGGAUGCUGGCUCACAGCAGUUCUGGAUCCAGGCCACCCCCUCCGGCUUUGCUACCGGCUACUGCUGCCCAUUUGAAAUGCGUUAGCGAGUUCAGAGGGGGCCUUAAGGUCUGAGCGCGUGAUUCGUCAUUGGCAAAUUCUCCCUCUGAAAAAUGCAAGGAUAGAAAAGGGUCCUGGCAGCAUACCGUCGUAAGCUAAUGAUUAAAACUAUCCAAAUAUGCAA